rnacentral:misc_RNA from 1 species
AUCAUCAAUCCCACGGGUUUCUUAUCUGUGUGGACUUGGAACUGGGCGUCUGCCUCCCAAGGCUCGCCUCAAAUGACUCAGUGGGAACUUCUUGACCUACGCCUGACGUGAUAAGUUUCGUCUCGGCCGGUCCUGAGGCCCGCUCACAACCCCCCACAUCUUUUGA